GCAGCCGAAAAAGGCGCGGAUGCUUUAUCCCUGGGGCUGCCCUAAGAGAGGUGACCGUACCAGCGGGAACCCGAAGAUGUAUGGCAGAGCCUGGCACCGAACCACCUCCCCUGAGGACGCCUCGUAACUCUGCGGCUCCUCCUGAACUGGCUUGGGGCGGUCUCUCCUUCAGGCCUUGCCCUUGCGAGGACUUAACAGAGACCAGGCCAGCAGGACCCAGUACCCAUCCAUGGGAGCCGUCUGGAUGAAAUAACUUAUUUUAUAAUUGCUUUACUAACUGCUGAGACUGAGACUCACUGAAAGAACUUGCACAAAAUCAACUUUUAAAAGGCAGGCCAGGUCUACUGGAACCCAGGUCUUUAAGCCUUGAAAGACAAUGCAGCAUGCCUGGAAAAAGAAAAGGUUUUGGGAGCAGACACCUGAGCUCAGUGUUGCCUCAGGACUUCAUGCUAGCCCUGGGCCACAGGUACUUCAGCUCACACUGGACUUGGAGCCCGACCCCACCCAGCUUCCCACUGCCAUCUGGUGGUCAUCCGGAGCCCAGGGCCCAGCUCCUGAUGGGCCUUCAUCAACAAUCUCCUUCAGAGUGCUGCAAAGCCUGUGGGCAACCCUACUUCCGCCCCUGAAAAAGUUGGCAUGAGAGAGAAAGGCCCAAUAUCUUGCCUCCAGUAAGUCGGACCAGCUGGGAUUCUAUUUUUAACCUGCACUGUUGUAGUUGACAGCUUGGAACGCCUUCUCCCUCCUUUUCUUCCUGCAUCCUGCCUCUUGCAGCCCAGGGCCCUGUAGAAAGGAUGGAUGGGAGCAGCCUCAGCACUGGUAAACAAAAGACCACUCUCCUUUCUCAUUGUCCUUCACCUGGCCUUUGUCCAGCCUAGUUAGUGGGUGGAGUUAGAGGUGUUACUGGCUGUGAGGUUAACAGAGGCUUAAAUCUCUGGGCUUCUCACUGCAUAGGCGCCUUCCGUGGCCCUGGUCAGUGUCCUGGCAAUUUUGUAUCUGUCAUUUUGUAUUCUUUUUCUUAAAAAGGGCACCCGGUUUUAUAAGCUCCAGGCCCCACAAAACUUGGGUCUGCCUCAUGAUGGGUAUGGCUUGUUUGCCAUCUGAGCUUAGUGUCUACUUCAAUAGGAUUAUUUCUGUCUUGUUCUAAUUUAUUGUAUGACCUUGAACAGCUUUCUUUCCUGCUCUGGGUCUCUAUUUUCCCAUCUGUUACAAGACAAAGUGUCAAGAAACCCUCUCACUCUAUCAUACUUCUGAUUAUCCAUGUAUAUCCCUGGUGAGGUCACCUGUUCUUCCCUACCUGUCAUUGUGUGUGUGAAAGGAUGA